rnacentral:lncRNA from 1 species
GUAAAAUGUAAUAUUUUCCCUCCCUUAGUACUUAUGCUUUUAUAAUUAUUUGGUGCGUGAAUCUACUCAUUAUUCUUAUAUUUUGAUUCAGCAUGCAAAUGGAUGAAUAUGUUUGAAUUUAGAAGAAACAAGCGAAAAAUGACUAAAAUGGAGGAAAAUGAAAGUUCAAGAACCAAAGUGCAAGCAGCUAAAAGACGACCCUUAAGGCAAAAUGAAGAAGUGAGAGAUUUGAAGGCGAAUUUAUAGAAGGCAUGAAGUAUUGGAAGAAGAAGAAACGAGAAAAGAAGUCAAAAAAUGUGAAAACGAAGUUUGAGGACUAAAACGCAAAAACUAGAAAGAUAUCAACACUAUGCGGUCACAUAGAAUAUAUACCUAUGUAGUUGCAUAUGGUAUUUCCGAGACUUCAAAGGCUGAAAUUACAUGAACCAUACGACCGCAUUAGUUUGUUCUAUGCUGUCGCAUGGUAUGUUUUCAGAACAAAAAUCUUGAUUUCCAAAAUUAAUUCCAAGAGACGUACUAGUUUAUUAUUUGUGCAAUUUACUGCUGGGUUAGAUAUCAAAUUCAUAAUUAUUUGAUCCACCUAACUUGUAAAUAAAUUAAGAUUUGAUGCUUUACUGCAUUAGAAAUUGUUGAAUCUUGGGAA